CUACAAAGGCAGUACCUGUGGAGUUUCUAUUUAGGAAUCGCUGGGCUUCUCCUACUCUAAAUUAUAUGAACCAAGAUUUUGACUUGCAUCCUGUUUCAUCUGAUGGAUGAUUUCACCUCACUCUUCCAUUUCUGAAGCCUGUGGGAUUUUCUAAAAUUUAGGGCAAACAAUCAGUCAAAGAAAGAGAAAGCAUUCCACCAAAGGAGAAAACACCAAGGAUCCAC